GGGAAUCUACCCAUCUCUACGGAACAACUCCGGGAAACUGGAGCUAAUACCGUAUACGUCCUUUUGGAGAAAGAUUUAUCGGAGAUGGAUGAGCCCGCGUUGGAUUAGCUAGUUGGUGGGGUAAUGGCCUACCAAGGCGACGAUCCAUAGCUGGUCUGAGAGGAUGAUCAGCCACACUGGGACUGAGACACGGCCCAGACUCCUACGGGAGGCAGCAGUGGGGAAUAUUGGACAAUGGGCGCAAGCCUGAUCCAGCCAUGCCGCGUGAGUGAUGAAGGCCCUAGGGUUGUAAAGCUCUUUCACCGGUGAAGAUAAUGACGGUAACCGGAGAAGAAGCCCCGGCUAACUUCGUGCCAGCAGCCGCGGUAAUACGAAGGGGGCUAGCGUUGUUCGGAAUUACUGGGCGUAAAGCGCACGUAGGCGGAUAUUUAAGUCAGGGGUGAAAUCCCGGGGCUCAACCCCGGAACUGCCUUUGAUACUGGGUAUCUCGAGUCCGAGAGAGGUGAGUGGAAUUCCGAGU
rnacentral:rRNA from 1 species